UUAUAACGCGCCGAGCUGUGUUUUAUUUUAUUGUUUCUAAGAAGAUGUAAGAAUACAAUAUUAUCAAUUUUAAUUGGUUUUAUCCAAAUCAAGAUUGUGUACAAUGGGAGUGAGUGAUGUAAUCUUCUAAUGCGUGUGGUGAAAAGAAGGCGAAUCCGUUAUUGUUUUUCUGCCCAAAUUUGAAGCUAUUUAAUAAAUCUUGAUAAAGUUAAAAAACUGUUUUGAUUUGUUUGUUUUUGUUUUAAUUGUUUCCCGUGAGUUUUCGAAAUUCGUUCCAGCAGAUUCUGUGGCUUCUACUGCCGGAAUUUUUACGUGAAAAAAAUACUGUUUUGUUGUGAGGUCAUUUACGAAAUCGUUACGUUAGGACCAACUUCUGCGGGUUGUACAACUCGAUGUAUCACAUAUCUUUCGGAAUACUGCUAAAAGUGUAAUUUUGUAUUGCGCUCUUUACUUUUACCAAUCUGUGGGAAAAGGCGGUACAAAAUUAUAACACGCGUGAUUCGUUUUUGUUAGUUUCGCGUAAUCUAAUUUUCUCGCACAUUUUGAAAAGAAUAUCCCACGCACAUCAAAUACUCGCGCAGUCUGUUCGCAAAAAAAACUGUUUUUGAGCAACGAAUUGUUCCGCAGAGCGUUCAUUUUCCUACCUUGUCCCCAGGGUUCUUCUAUAUGAUAUUCAAUUUUGAUGUAUUUCGGAAGAUGUUAGCGCCAAAGAAACAAGAAGCGCUAGGGACAAAGUAUUGGAUAGUUUAAUUUUGCUUGCAACUUGCGAAAUGCUUCGCAACCUUUUUUUGAAUUUCUAGUUUUUUCACCACUAAAACGCAUAAGACUUGUAGUUUUCAAAAAUGUUUUCAUUUCUGAUGAGACGCUUAAUGAAAGAGGUUUAAUCGCCGGCAAACGAAAACCCGCAAUUUCCCCGGGCUUGGCCCGUAUAGUCAAAAGUAUACAAAGAUAGUACCGAGGGAGUAAACUCAUUUCCCGAACGAUUUUUUAAUUCAUUUUUUCGCCACUAAAACGCAUGAGACUUGUAGUUUUCAAAAAUGUUUUCAUUUUUGAUGAGACGCUGAAUAAAAGAAGUUUAAUCGCCGGCAAACGAAAACCUGCAAUUUCCCGUAAAUCCCGGACUCGGCCCGUAUAGUCAAAAGUAUACAAAGAAAGUACCCAGGGAGUAAACUCAUUUCUCGAACGAUUUUUUAAAUUAUUUUUUCACCACUAAAACGCAUGAGACUUGUAGUUUUCAAAAAUGUUUUCAUUUUUGAUGAGACGCUGAAUAAAAGAAGUUUAAUCGCCGGCAAACGAAAACCUGCGAUUUCCCGUAAAUCCCGGACUCGGCCCGUAUAGUCAAAAGUAUACAAAGAAAGUACCCAGGGAGUAAACUCAUUUCCCAAACGAUUUUUUAAAUUUAUAUUUUACCACUAAAGCCCAUGAGACUUGUAGUUUUUAAAAUGGUUUCAUUUUUGAUGAGACUCUGAAUAAAAGAAGUUUAAUCGCCAGCAAACGAAAACCCGCGAUUUCCCGUAAAUCCCGGUCUCAGCCCGUAUAGUCAAAAGUAUACAAGGAAAGUACCCAGUGAGUGAACUCAUUUCGCUAACGAAUUUUUAAAUUAUUUUUUCACCACUAAAACGCAUUAGACUUGUAGUUUUCAAAAAUGUUUUCAUUUUUGAUGAGACGCUGAAUAAAAGAAGUUUAAUCGCCGGCAAACGAAAACCUGCGAUUUCCCGUAAAUCCCGGACUCGGCCCGUAUAGUCAAUAUAUACAAAGAAAGUACCCAGGGAGUAAACUCAUUUCCAGAACGAUUUUUUAAAUUAUUUUUUCACCACUAAAAGGCAUGAGACUUGUAGUUUUCAAAAAUGUUUUCAUUUUUGAUGAGACGGUGAAUAAAAGAAGUUUAAUCGCCGGCAAACGAAAACCUGCGAUUUCCCGUAAAUCCCGGACUCUGCCCGUAUAGUCAAAAGUAUACAAAGAAGGUACCCAGGGUGUAAACUCAUUUCCCGAACGAUUUUUUAAAUUAUUAUUUCACCACUAAAGUCCAUGAGACUUGUAGUUGUUAAAAAUAUUUUCCUUUUUGAUGAGACGCUGAAUAAAAGAAGUUUAAUCGCCGGCAAACGAAAACCUGCGAUUUCCCGUAAAUCCCGGACUCGGCCCGCAGAGUCAAAAGUAUACAAAGAAAGUACCCAGGGAGUAAACUCAUUUCCCGAACGAUUUUUUAAAUUAUUUUUUCACUACUAAAACGCAUGAGACUUGUAGUUUUCAAAAAUGUUUUCAUUUUUGAUGAGACGGUGAAUAAAAGAAGUUUAAUCGCCGGCAAACGAAAACCUGCGAUUUCCCGUAAAUCCCGGACUCGGCCCGUAUAGUCAAAAGUAUACAAAGAAAGUACCCAGGGUGUAAACUCAUUUCCCGAACGAUUUUUUAAAUUAUUAUUUCACCACUAAAGCCCAUGAGACUUGUAGUUGUUAAAAAUAUUUUCCUUUUUGAUGAGACGCUGAAUAAAAGAAGUUUAAUCGCCGGCAAACGAAAACCUGCGAUUUCCCGUAAAUCCCGGACUCGGCCCGUAUAGUCAAAAGUAUACAAAGAAAGUACCCAGGGUGUAAAUUCAUUUCCCGAACGAUUUUUUAAAUUAUUAUUUCACCACUAAAGUCCAUGAGACUUGUAGUUGUUAAAAAUAUUUUCCUUUUUGAUGAGACGCUGAAUAAAAGAAGUUUAAUCGCCGGCAAACGAAAACCUGCGAUUUCCCGUAAAUCCCGGACUCGGCCCGCAGAGUCAAAAGUAUACAAAGAAAGUACCCAGGGAGUAAACUCAUUUCCCGAACGAUUUUUUAAAUUAUUUUUUCACUACUAAAACGCAUGAGACUUGUAGUUUUCAAAAAUGUUUUCAUUUUUGAUGAGACGGUGAAUAAAAGAAGUUUAAUCGCCGGCAAACGAAAACCUGCGAUUUCCCGUAAAUCCCGGACUCGGCCCGUAUAGUCAAAAGUAUACAAAGAAAGUACCCAGGGUGUAAACUCAUUUCCCGAACGAUUUUUUAAAUUAUUAUUUCACCACUAAAGCCCAUGAGACUUGUAGUUGUUAAAAAUAUUUUCCUUUUUGAUGAGACGCUGAAUAAAAGAAGUUUAAUCGCCGGCAAACGAAAACCUGCGAUUUCCCGUAAAUCCCGGACUCGGCCCGUAUAGUCAAAAGUAUACAAAGAAAGUACCCAGGGUGUAAAUUCAUUUCCCGAACGAUUUUUUAAAUUAUUAUUUCACCACUAAAGCCCAUGAGACUUGUAGUAUUUAAAAAUAUUUUCAUUUUUGAUGAGACGCUGAAUAAAAGAAGUUUAAUCGCCGGCAAACGAAACCUUGCGACUUCCCGUAAAUCCCGGACUCGGCCCGUAUAGUCCAAAGUAUACAAAGAAAGUACCCAGGGAGUAAAUUCAUUUCCCGAACGAUUUUUUAAAUUAUUUUUUCACCACUAAAACGCAUGAGACUUGUAGUUUUUAAAAAUGUUUUCAUUUUUUAUGAGACGCUGAAUAAAAGAAGUUUAAUUGCCGGCAAACGAAAACCCGCGUCUUCCCGUUAAUCCCGGACUCGGCCCGUAUAGUCAAAAGUAUACAAAGAAAGUACCCAGGGAGUAAACUCAUUUCUCGAACGAUUUUUCAAAUUAUUUUUUCACCACUAAAACGCAUGAAACUUGUAGUUUUCAAAAAUGUUUUCAUUUUUGAUGAGACGCUGAAUAAAAGAAGUUUAAUCGCCGGCAAACGAAAGCCUGCGAUUUCCCGUAAAUCCCGGACUCGGCCCGUGUAGUCAAAAGUAUACAAAGAAAGUACCCAGGGAGUAAACUCAUUUCCCAAACGAUUUUUUAAAUUUAUAUUUUACCACUAAAGCCCAUGAGACUUGUAGUUUUUAAAAAU